GCCGUGAGUGCGGCGAAACACCUCCAGCAGUCCGGUGCAUCUCCAGGUUCACAUGAGGACGCACACGGGGGAGAGACCGUACAAGUGUGAGCAGUGCGGGGUCACCUUCGCUCAUUCGAACGCGCUGCGACGCCACGUCAAGAACAUGCACACGAACGAGAGACCCCACCAGUGCAACGAGUGUGGUCGCGGCCUGGCAUCUCAUUAUCUCGUGACGUCCCUGUUCAGUGUCCAAUGAGCAGGCGAGCGUGCCGUCUUGAUUGGUCAUUUCUGAUGGUGGUGCAAUACCUCCAGUUGGAUCGAUGACCAGCAUGACUCAUGCCCUUUGGUGCAAUCUUAUAUUUAUUGUGCAACAAUAUCGAAGCCCAUUGCUAAGCAUUCACAAUUAGUUGGCAUAGAGCCAAUGAGCAAUUAAGUCUCAACACUAUUGCAUCUAUCAGAUUUUCAGUCUCAAAUUUCAGUCUUCAGUACAUGUAUUUGUGUGUUGAAUUACA